rnacentral:rRNA from 1 species
UACGGAGGGUGCAAGCGUUAUCCGGAUUCACUGGGUUUAAAGGGAGCGUAGGUGGGCUGGUAAGUCAGUGGUGAAAUCUCCGGGCUUAACUUGGAAACUGCCGUUGAUACUAUCUGCCUUGAAUAUUGUGGAGGUGAGCGGAAUAUGUCAUGUAGCGGUGAAAUGCUUAGAUAUGACAUAGAACACCAAUUGCGAAGGCAGCUCGCUACACAUAUAUUGACUCUGAGGCACGAAAGCGUGGGGAUCAAACAGG